UUGUACUACUGUGAAAUCAGAUGAGCAGUGCAAUAUUAAAAGGGCA
ensembl:miRNA